UACGAAGGGGGCUAGCGUUGCUCGGAACCACUGGGCGUAAAGGGCGCGUAGGCGGCUUUUUAAGUCGGGGGUGAAAGCCUGUGGCUCAACCACAGAAUUGCCUUCGAUACUGGAAAGCUUGAGACCGGAAGAGGACAGCGGAACUGCGAGUGUAGAGGUGAAAUUCGUAGAUAUUCGCAAGAACACCAGUGGCGAAGGCGGCUGUCUGGUCCGGUUCUGACGCUGAGGCGCGAAAGCGUGGGGAGCAAACAGG
rnacentral:rRNA from 1 species